UCAACCGUCAAACAUCAUUUGUCUGCGAUUUCCGCAUGGCUUCCAGCAUCGGUGGAUGUCAUUUUACCCAGAAGGCCUGGAUGGUAUACACUGUGACAGCCAAUCUCUGGCGGCGUCUACCCAGCAGGCUCCUCUUUAUCCGCACACUGAAUGUGUUCCUUUUUAUUUAUUCAUUCAUUUCCAUGUGGCCAAGCACUGUCACUUUGAUGAAUUGGACCUGGAACCAGCCACUUGUUUUCACUCAACGGGACACGCUCCCGACUUAAACAUCCACCCCACGAGGAGGGGGCUCCGUCAUUUCCGGGCUUUAUAGAAGCCAGCGCGAGGGCGGCCGUCAUCCUCACCCGCCGCAGCUUCGCUACCUGAUUUCACCUGGAGCUUUAAUAAUGGCAAAUGUUUUUGGGGCGAUUGAAGCGGAUCCUUUCGAUUUCAUCUGCACCUUUCAGAAUACUUCAUGCCAGAAGAUUACAGAAACAAGUCCCGCUUUUCACAGCAGUGGCGAUAAUUGGCUCCUACUUCCCACUGUCAUCCUCGCAGAUGCUGAGUGUACUGCCACUAAACACCGACUCGCUGCAAACUGCCAUCAUUAUCAGCCCGCUGACAAAGCCUACUUGACAGCACAAAAAUACGGCGGCAGCGCCGAGGAAAACAACGCAAGCCUGUGAAAUAUUUCAGAAAUGAUAAAAAAAAA